rnacentral:rRNA from 1 species
AGUGAACGCUGGCGGUAUGCCUAACGCAUGCAAGUCGAACGGCAGCACAGUAAUAGCGUGCUCUUACGGGUUGCCAGUGGCGUGCGUAUGAGGAAUACAUCGUAAUCUACUUUUUCGUGUGGGAUAACGUAGGUAAACUUACUCUAAUACCGCAUACGACCUACGGGUGAAAGCGGUGGAUCUUCUGACCUUGCGCGGUUGAAUGCGCCGAUGUGGGAUUAGCUGGUGGGCGGGUUGAAUGCCCACCAAGUCGACGAUCCGUAGCUGGUGUGGGAGGAUGAUCAGCCACACUGGAACGGAGCCACGGUCCAGACUCCUAAGGGAGGCAGCAGUGGGGAAUAUUGGACAACGGGCGCAAGCCUGAUCCAGCCAUACCGAGUGGGUGAAGAAGGCCUUCGGGUUGUAAAGACGUUUUGUUGGGAAAGAAAAGCAGCAGGUUAAUACCCCGCUGUUCUGACGGUAAUCAAAGAAUAAGCACCGGCUAACUUCGUG